UCCUCUUGGCUGUGAUGGAAUGGCAGACUUCCCUUGAUUCUGAAGACCUUGACACUUCUGAGGACAAACCUGCUCUAACCCUGGGAUCCCUGAGCAACAUGACAGCAUGAGGUCCAGAUGGAAGGGAACAUCUGAGACCUGUCUGGACCAUCAAAGCCAUCCCCAGCCCCCAGGAGCCUACUGGAGGAGACACCAGCCUCGCCAAAACAAUUCUCCAUUGUGUUCU